CGUGGACUCUACAGCAUCCUCAAUGGGCUCUACAACAUCCUCAAUGGGCUCUACAACAUCCUCAAUGGGCUCUACAACAUCCUCAAUGGGCUCUACAACAUCCUCAAUGGGCUCUACAACAUCCUCAAUGGGCUCUACAACAUCCUCAAUGGGCUCUACAACAUCCUCAAUGGGCUCUACAACAUCCUCAAUGGGCUCUACAACAUCCUCAAUGGACUCUACAACAUCCUCAAUGAACUCUACAACAUCCUCAAUGAACUCUACAACAUCCUCAAUGAACUCUACAACAUCCUCAAUGAACUCUACAACAUCCUCAAUGAACUCUACAACAUCCUCAAUGAACUCUACAACAUCCUCAAUGGACUCUACAGCAUCCUCAAUGGACUCUACAGCAUCCUCAAUGGACUCUACAGCAUCCUCAAUGGACUCUACAGCAUCCUCAAUGAACUCUACAACAUCCUCAAUGAACUCUACAACAUCCUCAAUGAACUCUACAACAUCCUCAAUGAACUCUACAACAUCCUCAAUGGGCUCUACAACAUCCUCAAUGAACUCUACAACAGCCUUAAUGGGCUCUACAGCAUCCUCAAUGAACUCUACAACAUCCUCAAUGAACUCUACAACAUCCUCAAUGGGUUCUACAACAGCCUCAAUGGGCUCUACAACAGCCUCAAUGAACUCUACAACAGCCUCAAUGGGCUCUACAACAUCCUCAAUGGGCUCUACAACAGUCUCAAUGGGCUCUACAGCAUCCUCAAUGGGCUCUACAACAUCCUCAAUGGGCUCUACAACAUCCUCAAUGGGCUCUACAACAGUCUCAAUGGGCUCUACAACAUCCUCAAUGGGCUCUACAACAGCCUCAAUGGGCUCUACAACAGUCUCAAUGGGCUCUACAACAGCCUCAAUGAACUCUACAACAGCCUCAAUGGGCUCUACAACAGCCUGAAUGGGCUCUACAACAGCCUGAAUGGGCUCUACAACAUCCUCAAUGGGCUCUACAACAGCCUCAAUGGGCUCUACAACAGCCUCAAUGGGCUCUACAACAGCCUCAAUGAACUCUACAACAGCCUCAAUUGGCUCUACAACAGCCUAAAUGAACUCUACAACAGCCUCAAUGGGCUCUACAGCAUCCUCAGUGAACUCUACAACAGCCUCAAUGGGCUCUACAACAUCCUCAAUGAACUCUACAACAGCCUCAAUGGGCUCUACAACAUCCUCAAUGAACUCUACAGCAUCCUCAAUGGGCUCUACAACAUCCUCAAUGGGCUCUACAACAGCCUCAAUGGGCUCUACAACAGCCUCAAUGGGCUCUACAACAGCCUCAAUGGGCUCUACAACAUCCUCAAUGGACUCUACAGCAUCCUCAAUGGACUCUACAGCAUCCUCAAUGGGCUCAACAGCAUCCUCAAUGGGCUCUACAACAUCCUCAAUGGGCUCUACAACAUCCUCAAUGGGCUCUACAACAUCCUCAAUGGACUCUACAGCAUCCUCAAUGGACUCUACAGCAUCCUCAAUGGACUCUACAGCAUCCUCAAUGAACUCUACAACAUCCUCAAUGAACUCUACAACAUCCUCAAUGAACUCUACAACAUCCUCAAUGAACUCUACAACAUCCUCAAUGGGCUCUACAACAUCCUCAAUGAACUCUAUAACAGCCUUAAUGGGCUCUACAACAGCCUCAAUGAACUCUACAGCAUCCUCAAUGAACUCUACAACAUCCUCAAUGAACUCUACAACAUCCUCAAUGGGCUCUACAGCAUCCUCAAUGAACUCUACAACAUCCUCAAUGGGCUCUACAGCAUCCUCAAUGAACUCUACAACAUCCUCAAUGAACUCUACAACAUCCUCAAUGGGCUCUACAACAGCCUCAAUGGGCUCUACAACAGCCUCAAUGAACUCUACAACAGCCUCAAUGGGCUCUACAACAUCCUCAAUGGGCUCUACAACAGUCUCAAUGGGCUCUACAGCAUCCUCAAUGGGCUCUACAACAUCCUCAAUGGGCUCUACAACAUCCUCAAUGGGCUCUACAACAGUCUCAAUGGGCUCUACAACAUCCUCAAUGGGCUCUACAACAGCCUCAAUGGGCUCUACAACAGUCUCAAUGGGCUCUACAACAGCCUCAAUGAACUCUACAACAGCCUCAAUGGGCUCUACAACAGCCUGAAUGGGCUCUACAACAGCCUGAAUGGGCUCUACAACAUCCUCAAUGGGCUCUACAACAGCCUCAAUGGGCUCUACAACAGCCUCAAUGGGCUCUACAACAGCCUCAAUGGGCUCUACAACAUCCUCAAUGAACUCUACAACAUCCUCAAUGGGCUCUACAGCAUCCUCAAUGGGCUCUACAACAUCCUCAAUGGGCUCUACAACAGCCUCAAUGGGCUCUACAACAGUCUCAAUGGGCUCUACAACAUCCUCAAUGGGCUCUACAACAGCCUCAAUGGGCUCUACAACAGUCUCAAUGGGCUCUACAACAGCCUCAAUGAACUCUACAACAGCCUCAAUGGGCUCUACAACAGCCUGAAUGGGCUCUACAACAGCCUGAAUGGGCUCUACAACAUCCUCAAUGGGCUCUACAACAGCCUGAAUGGGCUCUACAACAGCCUGAAUGGGCUCUACAACAUCCUCAAUGGGCUCUACAACAGCCUCAAUGGGCUCUACAACAGCCUCAAUGGGCUCUACAACAGCCUCAAUGAACUCUACAACAGCCUCAAUUGGCUCUACAACAGCCUAAAUGAACUCUACAACAGCCUCAAUGGGCUCUACAGCAUCCUCAGUGAACUCUACAACAGCCUCAAUGGGCUCUACAACAUCCUCAAUGAACUCUACAACAGCCUCAAUGGGCUCUACAACAUCCUCAAUGAACUCUACAGCAUCCUCAAUGGGCUCUACAACAUCCUCAAUGGGCUCUACAACAGCCUCAAUGGGCUCUACAACAGCCUCAAUGGGCUCUACAACAUCCUCAAUGGACUCUACAGCAUCCUCAAUGGACUCUACAGCAUCCUCAAUGGACUCUACAGCAUCCUCAAUGGGCUCUACAGCAUCCUCAAUGGGCUCUACAACAGCCUCAAUGGACUCUACAACCGCCUCAAUGGACUCUACAGCAUCCUCAAUGAACUCUAUAACAGCCUCAAUGGGCUCUACAACAUCCUCAAUGGGCUCUACAACAGCCUCAAUGGACUCUACAACAGCCUCAAUGGGCUCUACAACUGCCUCAAUGGGCUCUACAACAGCCUCAAUGGGCUCUACAACAUCCUCAAUGGGCUCUACAACAGCCUCAAUGGGCUCUACAACAGCUUCAAUGGGCUCUACAACAUCCUCAAUGGGCUCUACAACAGCCUCAAUGAACUCUACAACAGCCUCAAUGAACUCUACAACAUCCUCAAUGAACUCUACAACAGCCUGAAUGGGCUCGAGUGA
ensembl:lncRNA